UACGAAGGGGGCUAGCGUUGCUCGGAAUCACUGGGCGUAAAGCGCACGUAGGCGGAUUGCUAAGUCAGGGGUGAAAUCCCGAGGCUCAACCUCGGAACUGCCUUUGAUACUGGGGAUCUCGAGUCCGGGAGAGGUGAGUGGAACUGCGAGUGUAGAGGUGAAAUUCGUAGAGUAAUUCGCAAGAACACCAGUGGCGAGGGCGGCUCACUGGCCCGGAACUGACGCUGAGGUGCGAAAGCCGUGGGGAGCAAACAGG
rnacentral:rRNA from 1 species